AUAUAUAUAUAUAAACUCAUUGAGCAAGCUGACGAUUGCAUCUGCACCACCGGUCAUAAGAAACUUGCAGAUUUGGCCAAUCUGAGGCACACAAAGUGAAAUCUUGUAACCAAUUUAUGAGGAAAACUUCUUGAUCCAUUGGAGGUAAGGUGGAAAUGGCUUCAUUCAUUGCUCUUUCUGCUUCUAUCUUUUUCAAAGCUCGUCAAGAAAGGAUAGGACAAUCCAUUGUUUGCAUAGCAAAUCAGUGGAAUCCAAAGCACUAACAAUCUGAACUUCACUUGUGUUGAAACUUCUACCUUGUUAUUGCCUGAGAGAUCUCCAAUUAAUAUAGCUGAGAUCUUCACAAUGUAACCCUGGACUCUGGGAUUAGCGGAGAAAGCGAGGGAAGCAAGAGAAGAGGCGUAACUCCAUUGCAACAUAGCCUCUUUCAAUGCCCCAUAGGUCCUCAAUUUGUUCGUUAUCCAAAGCAGUUCCUGUGCCAAUUUCUCCGCCACCACAUCGUCCGCUCUCUCAUAAACGACGCCGCCGCCGUCCAAUUGACUGUUCUUUUCUAAUGGCAACGCCAAUGUGCCUUUACGCACCGUUUGUGUGACACUUCUUAUGCAACAAUUCAACCCCUUCAAGUACGAUGAUAUGUAAGACCCCAGUGGCAAUGCCCUUAUGAACCGUGAGAUCCACGCGCCUGAACCAUCUGAGGCAUGUGGCUGUUGGAUGGAUCGGUAAAGAAGGCUUAACGUAAGCGCGAAUGCUGAAUACAGAGCCGUCCGAUUGACUUGUAGGAGUUCCACGUGGCCGACUCUGGAGUUUCCGUUCAUGAUCUGGUCAGCCAUCGCCAUAGCAAAUUGGUAUUUUCUUGAAGUGGCUGGUAUCUCGUUCAUCAAUGCAAGGAUAUAUGUGAG
rnacentral:misc_RNA from 1 species